ACCUCAAGCUGAAGAACCAGAAAUUUAAAGGUUAAAAACAAGAUGCUGUUUCUCAGCUAGAAAUAGCACUGGGCCUCAUGACUCAGUCCUAACUCAGCCCUGCAGAAAUAAAAACAACCUCUGUGGCUGUGAUAUGCUCGGGCUGUGCUGUGCCAGGGAACUCAGAGAUAGAUCCUGCCAUUAUGCUAAUCAGGGUUGUAAAAUAUGUCAGACUCAAGUCUACAGAAACCAGGUGUCUUAAAGACAAGUUGUGCAGAACAAAGACAGUUAAUUAACUCUGACCUGCUGGUCACCCCUUAUGAACUGACCAAUAGCAGAUAGAUAAGAUGCCCACCGCUCUGCACUAACUGUAAUGAUUGGCUUCUGUAAUAAACACUUACAUUGCAGUUUUUCCCCCUUAAAAACACCAGCCUUGCCCCAACUCAGGGUUCUCCGUUUCCACCUGUUUGGAGGACCCUGUGUACACGGAAUAAUAAAAAUCCCUUUGCUCUUACAUGAGAGCAAGGCCCUUGGAUUCUCCUUCACGACACCGGUCUUACAUUUUGGAGGCUCCAGCGAGAUCAAACUGAGAUCAGACCUCCUCGCAGAGGGAGACCCCAAUGGCACCUCUCUGGGGAUAAGAUGGGACAGACAACUUCAUCUCCUCUCUCCCUUACCUUGGACCAUUGGCCCGAGGUUUGAAAGCGAGCUCACAAUCUUUCUCUCCAGGUUAAAAAGGACAUGAUUAAUGAUGGUACAGCUGAGGGAAAAAUGCCCUCCCUACAGUAUUGGCCAUUCUCCUCCUUGAUUGCCUGUUUAAACUUGUUACUAACUUAGGGGCUUGUUGCUCAUUUCUGUUGCAGGAUCCAUAUGGCUUAUUAGAUCCAAGGUUCAUAAUAAGAAAAAUUAUUUCCUUUAGCUCACCAAACUGUGCAAGAAACAACCUUUGUUUGUUUGUGUCUUUAAUGUUGUGGCACCUUGUUUAAUAUGUAAGUCUUCAACUGAUUGCUUGCAACCUUGGCAUGCCUUUUAAAAGGAGUAUUUUUCUUUCUGGUUAAAAUGUAAACAUAUGUGCACAUAUAUGUGUAUAUUUAUGGUUUUUAAGAAUCAUAUCAACUUUACCAAGUGAAAACCAGGUCACACUGUAAUUGAGCCAGUUAAAAGGUUAUAGUUUAAAAAAAACAGCAUUUUAAUGUGGUAAAGAGACAUAAAAUAAUUAAAUAUGAUUUAGACUACUAGAAGGUGACUUCAAGGGUUUUGUUGUGAGUUUUAAUGUUGUCUGAGAAGUGAGAGAAAAGGUAAUUGACUGGUGAUAGUAAAAAGGAGGGACAAAGAAAGUGGUUUGUCUUCAAGUAAAAUGUCUGGCUGUGCCAGAAUAUGAAAGAAGAUAAAACUUGGAGGUAUAUUGUAACUUAUAGAAAGCUCGAGAUGAUGUAAAUUUUAUUUGUCUUGGUUAUAGUACUGAAAACAGCAGGUUUGACAAGAAGUAAAUGUGUUCAAAAUUUGACAGUAUUAGAUCAGUUUUGGUAGAUUUAUUUAUAAGAUUCUAAACCUUUGCUGCAAGGUGUUUUCAUUAAUAUGAGAUUAUAGAUGAUAAUAGAGUUAAGAUAUAAGUUCUCACAUGUGCUGUGGACAUCUGGGAGAUUAUAUGGCACAAUUUUGUUACCUAUGAAAAAGCUUCUUUUUGUUAAGUAUGUACUUUCAGUAAAAUGAUGGCCUGCCACGUGGCACUCUGGGACAAAGGGUGGUGUGCCAUCCAGAAAAAGCCUGCUCUCUGGUCCGGAAUGCCAAAACCAUGUUUUCCCUUUGUCCCACCCCGAUUGGACAUCCAGAGGUAAGGGGGUUUCCCCAGCAUCACCAGUUGUUCUCUUUGCAAUUCAGUCGGCCCCAUAUGUUAGAAAAAAGAUUACAAAGGUUUGAGAGUUUUUGAGAAAAUGCCCCUCAGCCAAUUGAUAGAGAUAACACAAGAGAUCUUUUAAAAUUUAGAAAAAAAAAAAAACACCCUGAGAUAGUGCUCCUCCAGUUCAUGAAUGACUUGUUAAUAGCCUCGACCCCCCCCCACCCAGAAGCUUGUAAGCUUAUCGAGAGGCAACUGAGAAACUGUUAAGGACUUUGGGGCAAUUAGGCUAUAAAGUCUCAGCUAAAAAGGCCCGAUCGUGCUGUCAGGCUGUGACUUAUCUGGGCUACAAAUUGCAAGGAAAAAAAAAAAAAAAAAGGAGGACUUUGUCUAAAAAGGAGCCCAGGCUAUAUUGCAGAUCCCAUUCCCAGAAACUAAGAAACAGGUGCACUAAUUUCUGGAAGCUGUCGGAUACUCCAGGCUAUGGAUUCUAAAUUUUACUGAAACAGCUCACCCCCUAUAUGGCUCCCUUAAGGGAAAAACUCACUAAACUGGACUUAUAAAUGUGAAUGGAUCUUGCAGCAGCUCAUUGGGCCUUGACAGAGGCCCCAGCCCUGGGACUCCCUGAUGUUACCAAGCCAUUCAUUUUGUUCAUAGAUAAACUCAGGGGCAUUGCCAAAGGAGUCCUAACCCAGGACAUUGGCCCUUGAAAGAGGCCUAUAGCCUAUCUUUCCAAAAGGCUCAAUCCAGUAACAAGAGGGUGGCCUCCAUGCCUAAAAAUUCUGGCCACUGUGGCAAUGCUACUUAAAAGAGGCUAAGAAACUCACUUUUGGACAGAAGAUUUCUGUAGUGACCUCCCACAGUUUAGAGACUCUUAUCAAAACCCGUCCCAAAAAUGUGAAUGCUAAAAUCUCACACUAUUAGGCCCUGCUCCUAGACCCAGAAUUGGUAGUUUUCAAGACUUCUUCAGCUUUAAACCCGGCCACCCUUAUGCCUGACAACGACCUGAGAAAUUUCACAGAUGAAAGCAGCUUCAUCCAGAAGGCAGAGGCAGAUGAGUGGCCAGGGCAGCAGUGACCACCAAAAAGGAGGUACUCUGGGUUAAACGGUUAGAGCCUGGCAUCUCUGCCUAAAAGGCAGAGCUUAUUGCUUUGACUGAGGUACUAAAACUAGCCACGGGAAAGAGGGUAAACAUCUAUACUGAUAGUAGAUAUGCUUUUGCUACUAUACAUAUAUAUAGAGCCAUCUAUUAAGAGUGAGGUCUCUUAACCUCGGCCAGAGCUAAGAUUUAAAAAAAAAAAGAGGGCUCCACAGAUCCUAGAUUUGCUGGCAGCAGUCUGGCUGUCAGCAGAUUGCUGCUAUUCACCUGAGAAAACAAUUUGGCAGAUCAGGCUGCUCAAAGAGUAGCAAUCACAUCAGAGAGGCCAGCCGAGAAAGAGUCCCCCCCGACCUUGUCAGAACAAGUCUACACAAAGAAAGACUGCACUGGUUGUUGUGAGCCAUCUAACAGAUUCCAGUCCCUGUGACUAAAAGACAAGUGCAAAAUUUCUAGGAGCCACAGGACUGAUCCAGAGUUUGGGACCCUGGCAGAGGCCUGUUGCCUACCUUUCCAAGAGACUUGGUUCUGUGGCAGCCAGAUGGCCAACCUGUCUGCAGUGAUUUCCUCAGUGGCCCCCUCAUAAAGGAGGCUUAAAAAUUGACUUUUGGACACAAAUUCUUAAUUGUUUCCUCCUAUUCGCUGGAGACUCUCUCAUCAAGGCCCCACCAGACUGAUGGAUGUCUAAUUCCUGAGCCAUACAUUAUCAGGCACUAUUUCUGGAAACAGCAGCUUUAAACUCGGCUACUUUGCUGCCUGAGGAUGACCCCUCGUUGCCUCACGGAACGUCGACCUUAUCUAGUGGAUAAGCUACUGUCUAGAGUUCCAUCCUACUUCUCUGAUGGAAGCAGCUACGUCUAUCAAGUCUCCCCCAGACUUUUCAGCUAGCUGUGACUUCCAUCCACUGGUUACUUCACUGCUGCCCACUGCGAGCUAAAGAGCCUAAGCACCAGGACAAGCAACCUCACCAUAAAUCUCUUGAGAGCAACCUCACCCUGAAUCUCUUAAGACGCAAUGGACUGUCCAAGUAGCUGAAUGCCUGCCUGGAUUCAACAUUCCCACUGCAGACAGGUCCCAGCUUCAAAAGACUAUCAGCCUGCGGAUAAGUGAACUGUCAUUUCUUCCAAGGACACUUUAAAGCUUAAGAUUGUCUAAUAUAACUGAUAAUUUUGUGUACUCCUCCUUUGUAGAGACCCCAAGGAGGCCUCUGUCUGGCUUAAAAAUUGUUACUUGUAUGAUAAAACAGAGUAAAUUUAAAUGUUGGUUAUCUUUCUCCUUUUGGUUAACAGCUUUAAUGACAGCUGCAAGACCUUUGUCAAUCGUCCUACUGGGCCUUGUGUUGUAAAUAAGUAGACAAACUAUGUCAAAGUUCUUAAAAGCUUAUGAUUUUAAAGACACAUGCAAGGUUAUAAACAGAUGCUAAUGAGUCAAUCAAUGGGGAAUGUUGUACUUUAAAAAAAAUAGCUUCGUUUUAUGUGUAUUAUAGCAAACCUGUAAAGUGACUUACUAAAUGUUUUGUUUUACCCUUUUUCCCUAACUGAUAUGUUAAGUGACCUAAUUGAUAUGUUGAACAACACUCGACUCUGUAAAGAAUUGCAAGAAUCUCACCUAAUUGAUAUGUUAACCAUUUUUGCCCUCUACAAACUACAGAAGCUGUGCUAAAACAAGCUAACAAGGGUUGUUAAUCACUGCUAGGUGCCUCUAUUCUCAGUUAAAGAGUUAAAAAAACAAAAAAAAAAACAAAAAAAAACAAAACAAACAAAAAAAAACUAGAAGGGCAAUUAAUUUACAUUUGUUUGGGGUAACCUGCUUGUGUGCAGAGAGAUUUGCGUGUGAGUUUGACCUUUUACCCUGACCUUGACACAUAACCGCCAUUUUCUGUUCUGUAUGGUGCCUUAUUGCCUCCCUCUCCCCUCACCUAUCUAUCUAGGCCAUAAAGAAUUUGGGUUUCUGGUGACCUCUCCCCAACCCGGUGAUGAUCUGUCAUAAAAUAAGCCUCCCAAAGUUUAAGAACUGUUUAGCUUCAAAGAAAUUACCUGGAAAUACUAUGGCCCAAACCCCAAUCGGUGCUUUCCUUUUGUUCUGUAUGUAUCAAAUGAGUUAGAUAUCAGAUCUUUGUAAAACUUAAGUUUCAGCUUCUUGUAACUCUUGACCCCUUCGCACUCACUAGCGAAGACAAGCUGUCCUGAGAUAAUUAACUCUCCACUUUCUUCUCCAAAUAUUGCUGCACACCUGCCACUCUGAGAUAAUGUCAGUCUGCAGGAUGGGAGUAAUUAAAAAAAAAAAAACACCAGAAACUCCCGAGAUUGUCAGAGCUAAGCAAGCAGCAAUACAGUUUCCAGACUCGGGUCAACAAGUUUGAUGGCUCUACAGGUUUCUUUAUAAAUCACAUAACUCAAUUUAUUAACUCCCAAGUCUCUCAGAUAAAAAUAAUGGUCCUUAGACAACAAUAUACUCCCUUAGCUAUAAUUGACCUCUAAGAUUAGAGGUAUUAUGGAGAAGAGGGGGGGAAUGAAGAACCAGAAAUUUAAAGGUUAAAAACAAGAUGCUGUUUCUCAGCUAGAAACAGCACUGGGCCUCAUGACUCAGUCCUAACUCAGCCCUGCAGAAAUAAAAACAACCUCUGUGGCUGUGAUAUGCUCGGGCUGUGCUGUGCCAGGGAACUCAGAGAUAGAUCCUGCCAUUAUGCUAAUCAGGGUUGUAAAAUAUGUCAGACUCAAGUCUACAGAAACCAGGUGUCUUAAAGACAAGUUGUGCAGAACAAAGACAGUUAAUUAACUCUGACCUGCUGGUCACCCCUUAUGAACUGACCAAUAGCAGAUAGAUAAGAUGCCCACCACUCUGCACUAACUGUAAUGAUUGGCUUCUGUAAUAAAUGCUUACAUUGCAGUUUUUCCCCCUUAAAAACACCAGCCUUGCCCCAACUCAGGGUUCUCCGUUUCCACCUGUUUGGAGGACCCCGUGUACACGGAAUAAUAAAAACCCCUUUGUUCUUACAUGAGAGCAAGGCCCUUGGAGUCUCCUUCGCGACACCAGUCUUACAAAGCACUUCCACAUCAAUUCUUAGUUAUUCCAGCAAGAAGUAUUAAUAUAUAUAUAUAUAUAUAUAUAUAUAAAGGAACAAAAAUUUUUGUUUGACUUUUUAUUUUCUACUUGGUUAUAUAAUAGUCCUUUUUAGGCAGAUGAGCCUUCACUUAAUCACAACUAUUAAUAAGGAACUUUGUAAGUCAUUAUGUUUAGCUCAAAACCUCCAAGGCUAAUGUCAUCAUUAAAUCUUCAGAGAAGUUUAGAAAGGAAAUUUGAAACUCUGAAACUUGAGCACAUUUUGAAGUGCUCUUAAACUCUGAGUAUCAUCUUUGCUCCCAGAGGCUGCUUUAUUGUAGUCUCAUAGAGUGACAUAUUUAAAGGCUUUAAUGGGAAAGACCCUGACACAUUGCUAAGAACUAUGCUGACAUAUUGCUAAAAGUAAUUGUUUUUUGUGAAUAUUCUUUGAAAGUGUGUCUUCACAAUUUACAGCCUGGAAAUGACUUUUUUACAAAAGUCCACCCCAGAGCCUUGAACAGACCAGAGGACAUUGGUCUUGGGUGUAUAUCUGUCAAUUGAGUAGAUAUAAGCCAUCUUCUUAUUACUGAGACUGUCACAACCAGAGUCCUCCAACUGAGGAUGUAGGAGGAAUCUUCUAGAACCUUAUGACUGCAGGAAAAGGAUGGCUUCUCUGUAAUACUGUCAGAUCAUUAAGGUGACAUCUCCGAGUUGAUAAUUUCUGUAUAUCUUACAAGAAGAAGAAAAACAGAUCCACAGGUAAUUGUGCUUUAAUCUUUCUGUGUAUUUCCGCUUUUUCUUUUUUUCCUAUUUUUGUGUUCAUGCUUUUUAUCAGAUACAUAACCUCAUAAUGAUAUGAUUCAUAUUUCUGGUAAUGUUUUUUCUAUCCUCAGUCAUUCUUUGAAUGAACCAAACAGUUUGACAAAUUUUGGUCAUGAGUUGAGUGAAGGAUAAAUGUUAAUGCCACUCACUUUUCUUUGGUACCAGUUCUUGUAAUGAAUUAUGGCAUUAUGAAUGACUUUUUAGAUAGCAAGCACACAAAAUUGAUGAGUGACAGAAGUUUGAAAUCUGUUGUCAUACAGCUAGAGUGGUAGUUUCCUUUCUUCAAUGGAGCAACUCAUAUGAGCCAUUUCUGUUUGCUACCAUUUUAAUUCAGUUUUUCAAAACUGGAGCUUAACAAAGUACUAAGUAAGUGAUGACCUAUUUUUUGCCUUUUUUGAUUAAUAUAACUGAUCUCUAAAAACAGAAAAAAUGUACAUAUUAAUUGUACAUAUAGUUUGUACAGUUUAAGUCAAGUUAAACAUAUCUUUCUUCUCAUUCAGUAUUUCUGUAAGGUGAAAACAGAAAAUCGAGCUUUUCAACAUAUACAUCAUCUUCCCUAGUCAAUCUACUGUAUGAUAGCCUACUGGAACUUUUUAUUCCUGUCUAAUUACACAUAGAUCAACUUUAUCAGAUUCCUACCCCUACAAUGUACUCCCCCUGUAUUUGAUAGUUGACUAACUUUUAAAGAUCUUACAAGAGAAUUUUACACUUAUGUUUGUUCUCAAACUUUUUUUUUUAUUUUAGAGCUAUGUAUUGACUUUAGUAUCAUAUAACUUGUCUAUCAGAAUUGGGUAUUUUUGGAAAUUGGUGUCCAAACAUUGCAAAGCUACUCUACUACCCAAUAGUCAUGUUUAUGGCUGAAAACAGAUCACAAUGUAAUAAGUAGACUAUUCCUCUUUGGUUAAUUCACUUCUGUAAUCUUUUAAUUUCAGUCCUUCUUGCCUUUUUGCUGUACAUUGCAUGAGUUAAGAAAUUCUGAAUUCUGACUCUUUUGGAAUCCACGGGAUAUUGAAACCAUGCAUGGCCCUGACUAUGUGCAAGAAACUCAUCAAAGUCAUGCUUUUUAAUGAAAAUAAAGAUUAUGAGCUAGUCCCCUCUUUUUACUCUUUUGAGUCAUUAGUACUUCUCUGCUCUCCCAAUAGAACUCAGGACAACCAAUAAAAAUUAUAUUUUCUUGA